rnacentral:lncRNA from 1 species
AUUCCAUUCAAUUCCAUUCGAAGAUGAUUCCAUUCAAUUCCAUUCGAUGAUGCUUCCGUAUGAAUCCAUUCACUGAUUAUUCCAUUUUAUUCCAUUCAUUGACGAUUCCAUUCGAUUCCAUUCAAUGAUGAUUCUCUUCUAUUCCAUUCGAUGAUUCCGGUCGAUUCCAUUCAAUGAUGAUUCCAUUAGAUUCCAUUCGAUUGUUGCAUUCGAUUCCCUUCGAUGAUGAUUCGUUUGAAUUCCAUUCGAUUAUGAUUCCGUAUGAAUCCAUUUGAUGAUUAUUCCGUUGUAUUCCUUUCGAUGAUGAUUCCAUUCGAUUCCAUUUGAUGAUGUUUCUCUUGUAUUCCAUUGGAUAAUUCCUUUCAAUUCCCUUCGAUGAUGAUUCUUUCGAGUCAAUUCGAUGAUUCUAUUCCAUUCCCUUCGAUGAUGAUUCCAUUUCACUCCAUUCGAUGAUUCCAUUCGACUCAAUUUGGUGAUGAUUCAAUUCGAUGUCAUUCGAUGACUCCAUUCAAUUUCAUUUGAUGAUGAUUACAUUCGAGUCCAUUUGAUGAUUGUAUUCCUUUCCUUUUGAUGAUUAUUCCAUUCGUGUCUAUUCAAAGAUUCCAUUCUAUUCCAUUCAAUGAUGAUUCCAUUUGAUUCUAUUCAAUGAUUAUGGCUAUCGAUUCCACUCGUUGAUUCCAUUUGAUUCCAUUCGAUGAUUAUUCCGUUAGAUUCCAUUAGAAGAUUCCAUUCGAUUUUAUUCAAUGAUUCCAAUUGAUUCCAUUCAAUGAUGAUUCCAUUCGACUCCAUUCACUGAUUCCAUUUGAGUCCAUUUGAUGAUUCCAUUCGAGUCCAUUUGAUGAUUCCAUUCUUUUCCAUUUGAUGAUGAUUCCAUUAGGGUCCAUUCAAUGAUUCCAUUCGAGUCCAUUCGUUAAUGCCUUUCGAGUCCUUUUGAUCACUACAUUCGAGUCCAUUCAAUGAUUCUAUUCGAUUCCAUUCGAUGAUGAUUCCAUUCGAGUUCAUUCGAUGAUUGCAUUCGAGUCCAUUUGAUGAUUCCAUAUGAUUCCAUUCGACAAUGAUUCCAUUCGUGUCCAUUUGAUGAUUCCAUUCAUUUCCUAUCGAUGAAGAUUCCAUUCGAGUGUAUUCGAUGAUUCCAUUCAAAUGCAUUCGAUGAUGAUUCCAUUCCAGUCCAUUCGAUCGUUCCACUUGAUUCCAUUUGAUGACUAUUCCAUUCAAAUCCAUUUGAUGAUUCCAUUCGAUUCCAUUCGAUGUUACCAUUCGAGUAUAUAUGAUGAUUCCACUCGAUUCCAUUUGAUGAUUAUUCCAUUGGAGUCCACUUAGUGAAUCCUUUAGAUUCUACUCGAAGAUGAUUCCAUUCGAGUCCAUUCGAUGAUACCAUUCAAUUCCAUUCGUUGAUGCUUCCAUUCAAGUGCAUUCGAUGAUAUCAUUCGAUUCCAUUUGAUGAUAAUUCCAUUUGAUUCCAUUGGAUGAUUCUAUUCGAUUCCAUUCAAUGAUAAUUCCAUUCAAUUCAGUGAUUCCUCUGGACUCCAUUUGAUGAUGAUUCCAUUCAAUGAUUCCAUUCGAUUCUAUUCGAAAAUGAUUCCAUUUGAAUCCAUUUGAUGAUGAUUCCAUUAGAUUCCAUUUGAUGAUUCCAUUCGAUUCCAUUCAAUGAUAAUUCCAUUCAAUUCAGUGAUUCCUCUGGACUCCAUUUGAUGAUGAUUCCAUUCAAUGAUUCCAUUCGAUUCUAUUCGAAAAUGAUUCCAUUUGAAUCCAUUUGAUGAUGAUUCCAUUGGAUUCCAUUUGAUGAUUCCAUUCGAUUCCAUUCGAUGAUGAUUCCAUUCGAUUCCAUUUGAUGAUUCCAUUCUAUUGUAUUCGAUGAUGAUUCCAUUCGAUUCCAUUCGAUGAUGAUUGGAUUCGAUUCCAUUUGAUGAUUUCAUUUGAUUCCAUUCGAUAAUGAUUUCGAUCAAUUCCAUUCGAUGAUUCCAUUCGAUUCCAUUCGAUAAUGAUUACAUCCGAGUCCAUUCGAUGAUUCCAUUUGAGCCCGUUCGAUAAUUCCAUUUGAGUCCAUUCAAUGAUUCCAUUCAUUUCCAUUCAAUGAUUCCAUUCGAGUCCAUUUGAUCAUUCCGGUAGGGUCCGUUCGAUGUUGAUUCCAUUGGAGUGCAUUCGAUGAUUCCAUUCGAGUCCAUUUUAUGAUUUGAUUCGAGUCCUUUCGAUGAUUCCAUUCGAUUCCACUCGAUGAUUUCAUUCGAGUCCAUUCGACACUUCCAAUCGAUUCCAUUUGAUGUUUCCAUUCGAGUCCAAUUGAUGAUUCCAUUCAAUUCCAUUCGAUGAUGAUUCCGUACGAUUCCAUUCUGUGAUGAUUCCAUGUGAUUGCAUUCAAUGAUGAUUCCUUUCGAUUGCAUUCGAUUAUGAUUCAUUUCGUGUUCAUUCUAUGGUUCCACAGGUUUCCAUUCGUGUCCAUUCCAUUAUUCCAUUCUAUUCCAUUUGAUGAUGAUUCCAUUCGAUUCCAUUCAUUGGUGAUUCCACUCAAUUCCAUUCAAUGAUUCCAUUCCAUUUCUUUCAACAAUGAUUCCAUUAGUUUCUAUUCGAUGAUCCACUUGAUUCCAUUUGACGAUGAUUCCAUUCUUGUCCAUUCGAUGAUUCCAUUUGAUUCCAUAUGAUGAUGAUUCCAUUCGAUUCCAUACGAUGAUGAUUCCAUUCGAGUCCAUUCAAUGGUGAUUCCAUUCAAUUCCAUUCGAUGAUUCCUUUCGAUUCCAUUCGAUGAUGAUGGCAUUCGAUUCCUUUCGAUCAUUCCCUUUGAUUCCAUUCAAAGGUGAUUUCAUUCAAGUCCAUUCGAUAAUUGCAUUCGAUUCCAUUCUAUGAUGAUUCCAUUCGAGUCCAUUUGAUGAUUCCAUUCAAUUCAAGUCAAUGAUGAUUCCAUUCGAUUCCACUCGAUGAUUCCAUUGGAUUCCAUUCGAUGAUGAUUCCAUUCAAAUCCAUUCGAUAAUUCAAUUCAAGUCCAUUCGAUGAUGAUUCCAAUCGAAUUCAUUCAAAGAUUCCACUCAAUUUCAUUCGAUGGUGAUUCCAUUAGAUUCCAUUCGAUGAUUCCACUUGAUUCCAUUUACGAUGAUUCCAUUUGAUUCCAUGUGAUGAUUCCAUUCAAUUCUAUUCAAUGAUGUUUCCAUUUGAUUCCAUUCGACCAUGAUUGCCUUUGAUUCCAUUAAAUGAUUCCAUACGGUUCCAUUUGAUGAUGAUUCCGUUCGAUUCCAUUUGAUGAUUCCAUUUGAUUACAUUGGAUGAGUCCAUUCGAUUACAUUCGAUGAUUAUUCCAUUCGAGUGCAUUAGAUGAUUCCAUUCGAGUCCAUUCGAUGAUUCCAUUCGAUUCCAUUCGAUGUUGAUUCUGUUCAAAUCCAUUCGAUGAUUCCACUCGAUUCUAUUCGAUGACUCCAUUUGAUCCCAUUCGAUGAUUUCCUUUGAUUCCCUUUGAUGAUCAUUCCAUUUGAUUCAAUUCGGUGAUUUCAUUUGAUUCCAUUCAGUGAUGUUUCCAUUCGACUCCAUUCGAUGAUGAUUCCAUUCGACUCCAUUCGAUUAUGAUUUCAUUCAAUUUCAUUCGCUAAUGAUUCCCUUGGAGUCCAUUCGAUGAUUCCAUUCGAUUCCAUUCAACGAUGAUUUGAUUCGUGUCCAUUCGAUGAUUCCAUUUGAUUCCAUUUGAUGAUGAUUCCAUUCGAGUCCAUUUGAUGAUUCCAUUCAAUUCCAUUCUCCGAUGAUUUCUUUUGAGCCCAUUCAAUGCUUCCACUCGAUUCCAUAUGAUGAUGACUCCAUUCGAUUAAAUUCGAUGAUGAUUCUAUUCGCUUGCAUUCGAUGAUGAUUCCACUUGAGUCUGUUAGAAGAUUCUAUUCAAUUACAUUCCAUGACGAUUCCGUUCGAGUCCAUUUGAUGAUUCCAUUAGACUCCAUUCGACGAUGAUUCCAUUCGAUGUUAUUCGAUGAUGAUUCCAUUCAACUCCAUUCGAUGUUUCCAUUCGAGUUCAUUCUAUUAUUCCAUUAGAUUCAAUUCGAUGAUGAUUCCAUUCGAUUCCAU